UCCUGGCUCAGGAUGAACGCUGGCGGCGUGCUUAACACAUGCAAGUCGAACGGAGUUUAGAUGAAAGCUUGCUUUGACUAAACUUAGUGGCGGACGGGUGAGUAACGCGUGGGUAACCUGCCUUAUACAGGGGGAUAACAGUCGGAAACGACUGCUAAUACCGCAUAAGCGCACGGAAUCGCAUGAUUCAGUGUGAAAAGAUUUAUCGGUAUAAGAUGGACCCGCGUCUGAUUAGCUAGUUGGUGAGGUAACGGCCCACCAAGGCGACCGAUCAGUAGCCGGCCUGAGAGGGUGAACGGCCACAUUGGGACUGAGACACGGCCCAAACUCCUACGGGAGGCAGCAGUGGGAAUAUUGCACAAUGGGGGAAACCCUGAUGCAAGCGACGCCGCGUGAGUGAAGAAGUAUUUCGGUAUGUAAAGCUCUAUCAGCAGGGAAGAAAAUGACGGUACCUGACUAAGAAGCCCCGGCUAACUACGUGCCAGCCGCAGC
rnacentral:rRNA from 1 species